GGGCCCGCACAAGCGGUGGAGUAUGUGGUUUAAUUCGAUGCAACGCGAAGAACCUUACCAGGGUUUGACAUCCUGCGAAUCUCUUGGAAACGAGAGAGUGCCUUCGGGAACGCAGUGACAGGUGGUGCAUGGCUGUCGUCAGCUCGUGUCGUGAGAUGUUGGGUUAAGUCCCGCAACGAGCGCAACCCACGUCGUUAGUUGCCAGCAUUUAGUUGGGCACUCUAUGGAAACUGCCCGUGAUAAGCGGGAGGAAGGUGUGGAUGACGUCAAGUCCUCAUGGCCCUUACGGGUUGGGCUACACACGUGCUACAAUGGUAGUGACAAUGGGUUAAUCCCAAAAAUGCUAUCUCA
rnacentral:rRNA from 1 species